UACGUAGGUGGCGAGCGUUGUCCGGAUUUAUUGGGUUUAAAGGGUGCGUAGGCGGUUCAAUAAGUCAGUGGUGAAAUCCGGCAGCUCAACUGUCGAUGUGCCAUUGAUACUGUAGAACUUGAGUACUGAUGAGGUAGGCGGAAUUGACGGUGUGGCGGUGAAAUGCUUAGAUAUCGUCAAGAACACCGAUAGCGAAGGCAGCUUACUAAAGAGUAACUGACGCUGAGGCACGAAAGUGUGGGGAUCAAACAGG
rnacentral:rRNA from 1 species